AAUGUGCCUUUGGAUUGGCCAUAUGGAGAGCAGGAAGCGGAGAAGGCCUGGUUGGCGUGAGGGCGCCGCUGUGAGGAACCGCGCUAUAGAGACCCGGCAGAGGGGACUGGAGCCGGAGACCAAGCAACGCCGCUAGCGUGCACAUGACAGGAGAAGCAUUCUGAGGAGACUAAGAGGCUGUGAGGAGUGCAGUGAGCGCUGAGAAUCUGCAUUUUCUUGCCCCAAAUCUGCCUUUCAUCCUAGUCUCUGAGGGCACACAUAGGACAAACUUCAUGAUCUACUGCUGGUGACAGAACUUAGGUCUCUAUGCCAUUCCUUGACUCAAGGUGGAAUUGAUCCCGGAAUUUACAACAUCACAGUUUGUCACAGGAAUUAUACACUCCGGAUAUGUUAAACUGACUCUUUAAUAAAGCAGUUAAAGAUAACACAACAGUCUUCUUCAGUGAAAUCUCUUAAGACAGAAAAAACACGGUUUUAUUCAACUGUAUCUGUGAACACAGCGACCUCUUCACCGAACUCUAUCCAAAACCAUCCUAAAUAAAGUUUCUGCUGAAGUGGCCCGUAAAACCUACGAUUUGACUAACCAGAGUCACCUUGAUGAAAUAAGAGAUUUGCUGCAGAAUAACGACGAGGGAGACCCAUCAAUCACUGAGGAUAUGGGGUAAGAGAGUGACAUUGAUUCUGAAGAUGAGGUGGAGGAACAUGACGGUGAUUCAGGAAUGGAGCAAGAUUGUGAGGAGUCUAGUGAUGAUGAUGGAGAAGAAACAGGUGACACCUUUUUGUGGGGGAAAGAUAAGAAGACCAAGUGGUCCAAAAGGCAACUCGGGAAAGUUUGUCGUAUGGGAACUCAAAACAUUAUAAUUUCCUGGAGUCAGAGGAAAUGCUAAAGGGGGGUACUCACGGAGCGAUAUUCUAAGCAAUCUGAGUAGAUUGCUUAGAAUAUAAGCCUGAUCGCUCUGUGUGUACCCCUUACAGCGAUAGCAAUGCGCAGCCCCGCGCAUCGCUAUCGCUGCUGGUAGAUUGGCCAAUCUGGCGGGUCUCUCACUUCACCCGCUGGGUGAAAUGAGCGUCCCCCCCCCCCCCGUCUCCCCCCGCACGCUCAGCACACUGCGCUGUGCUGAGCGGCGGGAGAGAUGUGUGCUGAGCGGUUCGCU